rnacentral:lncRNA from 1 species
UCAUCUUGGCCACCUUGCUUUGCCGUGGGUGGAUCGUUGUUUGUAUUAUUUGUGCUUUUUAAGAAUAUUUUUUUAAUUCGGAUACUUUUAUAAUAGCUUUAAUAGUAUUAUUAACAUAGUGAAUAAAAUGGUGUCCUGUUUUUAACGCAGUUGGAGUAGCAGAAACAAAUGUAGAUAAAAAAAUCUGCAGGAAUAACGUUUCAAUUAUGACAGAAGCUCCAAACAAAUGACUGUGAAUGAAAAGCCCUAUUAAAAGCUUUCCAGAAGAUCCUGCGAAGAAGACAUGAAGUAUAGAUCAGAUUUGUUAAUAGAGGAGUAUGUUCAAAACACUUUUUAGAAAAAGAUAUUGACAGAACUUCACUUUCAUCUGUUCGUUUAAGAGACUGUGCUGUUCCAAUAGCUUAUGUCACACAGAAUCAGCUGAGAGAAGUGGUCUACAAAAAACCAGAAAGGAAACGGAAUAUGUGGCUACGAAAAGCAAAAGAAAGGUUUACAAAGCAAAUGUGACACAUUUUUUUAUAAUAUUUAGGAAUGUCAGUAAAUUACAUUAAAAAAUGUAUGUAAAGAUUUUUUGCAAUAAAAAUGUUUAUAUUUA